AAGAGCAACGUACAAGAAAUCCGAUUAAGUAAUUUUCUUCGAUUAUUACGCAAGCGGUCGUUAAACGAGCAGAUUCGAGGUACCAGUUUUCGAAAGUAAACGAGAACUUGUCUUUGUUCGAGUGACCGAAUAUUAACGCGUUGUCGCAUGAAAAAUUAUCCUCAGGUGCGCGCGAAACCGGUGAAAUCUGUACGAAAAUUUGGAGCACGCGGCAGCAGGUGCUACGGGUGGUUACAAAAUCUUGCAAAAGAUUCCCCGAAUGACAUACCUGUUUGUCGUAUUCGCUUGUUAAAAACCCUAAUUGUUUGUCGCAUCUGCACGAAUAAUUUCACCGAGUCUCGAAUAAAUUGGUCAGCAAGGUUAUUCAAAGGCAGAGUGAAACGGAAAAUAUAGCAGAAAUUCGUGAAACAUGCUAAUAUUACUGCGUUCAACGCGGAAUUUCAUCACCUGCCGCAGCAUCGAAUUGCGUCAUCGAGGCGAAUUUUCCACGAUCACGUUCCACCUUCAAAACCUGUUGGUCACCUCUGGUUGGGUAGAAGAACCGCAAGAAAAUCGCAGAAGUGAACCGAUCGAGAGGAACGAAAGCAAAGAAAAGGGAAAAAAGAAGCGAAGAGCUUGCUCGCAAUAACAGUUGCGAGACUUAUCAGAAUGGGACAGCUGCGGCUCGAACGACGUACGGGAUGAAACCGCGAAAAUCUCGGAUUACACGGGACUCUCAGUGGUUCUCCGAUCGGAGGAUCAUCCGAAACUCCUGAAUGUUGGUUAUCGUUUGGAGCAGCCUGGCGUGACCAUUAAUAAACGAAGGCAAAUAAGGAGGGAAAGCCAGCCAGUGUACGUCGUUUAUUUAAUCGGGUAAUAAUUCUAUAAGUCCAAGAUCGUCAUCGUUCGCGAUGCGCAAACAAUUCAAACGUCUUCGUGUGCCUCUUUUUAUUUUAUUUAUGAAUCAUUAAGCCAAACAUUUCAAUCGCUUGUUUUUGUUUAAUGGAGUACGAGCAAUGGAGUAUUGUUCGAGCGACGUCUUGAAUCGAGCGGAGUCUUCGAUCGAGUAAACAUUGGUUCUUGCUUUAUUAUCGAUGUAAAUCCCCCAGAACAAUUCCAUAUCAUCGUUGUGUGCUACGAAGCCAACCUGCCUCGCUAUGUAUAUUUCCGCUAUUAAUCGAGCUAACAAUCGAGCCAUUAUCCGCCAAGAACGACGCAAGUCGAGCGUUCGUUUGAUUGAAAGGAAGCUCGUUCUAAGAUAUUCGCUCGUGUACUUCUACCGUUAAUAGAGGCAUUAUUUUCAGAAAUAGACACGCUGGAAUUUACGUAGUUUCAAAUUUUUCAUACUUCCGACGUAUCGGUCGAACCAUUAUUAGCUAAUAACACAAGUGGACGUUUGUACGCAAAACUACUAUUUUCAAGCCUUCGAGCCGUACAAUUUCUAUACGUUUGCCGAGCAAAGUUUGCGGACGAAGUUCGAAUUUUCCUAUUCUCAUAUUCUCAUCGCGAAACGUCAAUACUCGUUCGAGACCCGAGGAGCAGCGUUUCCUCUCUGUUUCUCUGCGAGACAAAGAGAAUGUUGCAUCGCGUCGCACGCGCAUUAUAUUAUGUAAAUAUCCGGUUAUUUUUGUUUCAAGCAGCCGGUCAAGAGGAGGACGAUAGCGUUGGAUAUCGCGACCGAUAGGGAGGAGAAAGGAAAGAAGGUUAUGCCCGUCUCGUGGCUGAAGCGAGAGGAGCAGAGACAACGAUAUUGCACGGAUCGCGUGUGGCGUAGGCGCACCACAGAGUACAAUGGCAUUGUACACACAUGCACGUACGCGUACGUCGUGGAUGCAACCGAUGCGCCUUCUCUUCUUCCAGCCGUUUCAUUAACGUACGUCAAGAUAAAUUACCAAAGAUUUCAACUCGCGCAAACUCUCUCCUUCUUUCGUCCAUUUCGAUUUCGCUUAUCUGAACAUUCUCGAUUAACCCUUUCGCUCUGGCUGUUGUUCGUCGAUCGCGAACCGAUUGGUUAACUUUGAUAAAUAAUCGUUUCGUUGUUCUCGUACAUCGUCGAUCUUCGCCAAGAUAUCUUAAACUUUGCAGAACGUACGCUGGCAAUUUACGAUUUUCUUAAGGAAUAAUGACUCGUUUCAUGGAAAGAAUCCACGAAGAAGAUACGAAAAUUGGUCGAGUUCGCUCCUGGUAUCGCUCAGGACUCUUCGUACAUUAGGAUUUUCGUAACAAGCCCCAUUUUUAUCUACCUGUCCGAUCGUCUAAUCGACUGCACCACCUGUCCCCGUUACACCCAGUAUCGAAAAAGAAGAAAAAAUAAAACGAGCAAGAUCGCGACUGAAAAUCGAGUCGCGUGCCUCGACUCUUCAUAGUUUUUCUAGCUGUCGCAGCAUCGCGAGUUAAAUAUUCAUGCAGGCAAGCGCCAGCUGUCUGGCGCGCAUUAUAAAUAAAAGAAUCUAUCUAUGCAGCCUGCCAAUGAUUUACUUCGAAUUUGAUAUUCAAAGGUGCACGCAUAAACGUUGGAACGGUGCGAAAUCUGUGCGUUUGUCGAUCGAACGGUAGCACGAUACAAAGAGAAAUGUCCACGAUUCGAGGACAAGCACGAAGGACGAGCAUCGUAUGCAGGUGCACGCCGUUGCUUUCUGCGACGAAUUCUUCACCGUUGAAUCACGCUUGUUGCUACUAAAAAUCUUAACUCGGUCGUAUUCGGUCGACCGAAUGUCCGGUAAUAAUCGCGAAACGUUGCAAAACAAUGGAGUUUUGUUACGGUGACGCGAUUUUCACGCGAGAGGAAUUUGCCGGAGAAACACGAACGAGAUAUGCAGGUGACGAGACAAGGACGCAGGAUCUGCGAAUUUCGUGCGGAUAAUCGCGAGCCAACCUUUCGUGAUCGAAUCGAUCUCGAACAGGAACAGAGAGCCUUGAGAUCCUUUGUUUUUCCUCUUUAAAUAAAUACUCUGCACGUUUCUACGAUGUACAACGACUGGCAUACUAGCCUUUUCUCGGUAAGGGCAAACGAGUCUCUCGCCAUUAGAAGGGUCCCAGAGAAUGUCGAGUACUUAUAAAUUGAAUAAAAUUAUACGGAGACUCGUUUCGCGAGGAUGACAAAGUUUGCUCGCAGACAUUGUCAUCGGUGUCCGUGAAGAAUGUACAGGAUGGAAUUCAAGCGGCACGCAGUUUUAAUUAAUGGAAGCAAACAGGCGAGUCGCGUCUCGUAUUAAUUAAUAAACCGAGCUGGUGUCGAGCACGAUGAUUCACGCAAAAAGCGUCCAUCGAGCACGGUGUACGUUAACGCGAGCCGACGUCUAAAACAACAUCGCGUGUUUCCUUCGAGCAACGCUCUAUCCAUCCAGCGAAAUAAAACGUUCUAUACGCGUGGAAUUCAGGUCACUCGGUAACGUGGAUAUGCCGCGAUUAAUCGCGAGAGAACUUUCAUCGACGAGCGGAGAGAAACCUCGUGAACGUAAUUUUACUUGCAUCGACCCGCAUACCGGGGUAACUCCGAAAUUGUAUUUUAAUUGAACCACCGGAACACGCGAGAUCGCCCGCCAUAGCUCGUGAUGGUGUAUCGUGUGGUUAAAUUGCAUGGUCAAGGUUACGAAAGUAAGGCCCGAUGCUUCCAGUGAACCGACUCGAUACAGGGUGUCGAAAGAAAAAUGAUCUUUGAAAUUACGAAAUUUCGUAGGCGUUUCUCGGGUAGAAGAAUGAAAAUGGGCUCUCGUAACGAGACACGAUGAAACAUCCACCAUUAAGAGUACGACGACGUCUCGAAUUGACGAGACAGUGUUUUUUAUCGAGCACCCUGUACAUGUGAAAUUAUUCGCGAAACACUGGCCCUGGCGCGUCGUAGAUCCUGGCUGCGCGAAAAAUAAAGGAUCGCUGACCACGUUGGUUGGCUGGCGUCGCCGAGGCAAACUAUCAAGGGCAGGUGUUCGAUGCGAGAAGCAAGAGGAACACCUGCCUCGAGAUUUUGCAAUGUAUCUCGAAGAUGCUGUUGGCAAAGCAGUACCUCGGUGCACCUGAUCAGUAUUCACUAAUUUCCAAAUAGCAUCUAUUCCAUUAUUGGAAGAAAUCUACCGAGUCCAAGAACGAUCGAGACAAAUGAUCGCUUUCCGGUUAAAGGAUCAAGGGUUGUUAAACGAGUUCGGGCACGAAACGAUUAAAACUGACCUCGUACAAUCGUGAAUCGAACGCGUUUCUCUUCCUUUUUACUCGAAGCGACGAGCAGAGACAGAACAAAAGAUUUAUUUGUCUAGGACAGUUAGGUAUGCACCGGCAAAGAACA
rnacentral:lncRNA from 1 species